rnacentral:rRNA from 1 species
UGGGGAAUAUUGCACAAUGGGGGAAACCCUGAUGCAGCGACGCCGCGUGAGCGAAGAAGGCCUUCGGGUCGUAAAGCUCUUUUAUGAGGGAAGAUAAUGACGGUACCUCAAGAAAAAGCCCCGGCUAACUACGUGCCAGCAGCCGCGGUAAUACGUAGGGGGCUAGCGUUGUCCGGAAUCACUGGGCGUAAAGGGUUCGCAGGCGGAAUAACAAGUCAGAUGUGAAAGGCAUGGGCUCAACCCAUGUAAGCAUUUGAAACUGUAAUUCUUGAGAAGUGGAGAGGUAAGUGGAAUUCCUAGUGUAGCGGUGAAAUGCGUAGAUAUUAGGAGGAAUACCUGUGGCGAAGGCGACUUACUGGACACAAAUCUGACGCUGAGGAACGAAAGCGUGGGUAGCAGACAGG